rnacentral:lncRNA from 1 species
AAUGUUUGAUUGUUUGGGGAAAAACUAAGAGCUAAACUAAUAUCUAGAUUAAAUAUCAAUAAAACGGAUAUCGGUAUGUAGUUCGUCAAAACUAGGGAAUCAAGUCUUUGUCGGUUUCCAGGUUUUUAAAAUAAAUCGUUUCAGUUAACUUUAUUGGUUAAAGGUUUUAUCUCAAACUCUCGCUCUGUUGAAUAAACCAUGAUUUUAUAUUAAUGUUGCUGUCACUUAUAAUUAAGUCAAAAACCAUAUUUUGAAAGCAAUAAAGUUGCAGAAACUCUUUUUAAGAAAAUACUGACCGUUUUAAACACCCUUAUCUCAAACUCUCGCUCUGUUGACUUAGGUUAUAUGAUUAAAUCCAAAUGCUUAACUCUC